rnacentral:lncRNA from 1 species
CCAUGCUCUAUUUCCCAUAAUUUAUGAAUAUGUUACCUUCUGUGGCAAAAGAGAUUUGUAGAUGUGAUUAUGGGUACAGACCUUGAGAUGUGGAGAUUAUCCUGAAUUAUCCUAGUGGGCCCAAUCUAAUCAAAUGUGUUCCUGAAAACAAGGAACAUUUCUUGGCUGUGCUCAGAGAAAGAGCUGUGACAAUUUUGCUGGCUUUGAAGAUGAAAGAAAGGGCCACUAGCCAAGAAAUGCAGGUGGCAUCUAGAAGCUUAAAAAGGAGAAAUGGCCAGAAAUAUGAAUCUAGACAAAUUCACAAGAUGUGACCAGUGAUUCGUCUGGACAAUCGGGCCCCUGGAAGAAACAUGACUGGAAAAUUGGUGACAAGAAUGUCUGAAGAAGAGUUACAAGGAUAGAUCCAUUGGAAUGGACAAAGAAUGGUAAGAUAUUUGGUUUCAUCUAAAUGAUCCUCAAAGGUGACUUUAGCAGAGGAGAAUUUUGAUAAUCAAGUGGAUAAGAUGAUUCAUUUUUAUGGAUACCAAUCAGCUUCUUUGUCCAGCCAUGCCUUUCAUUACCCAAUGGGUUCAUGAACAAAGUGGCCAUGGUGUCAGGGAAGGAGAUUAUAUAUAUGAGCUGAGGAAUGUGGACUUCCACUCACUAAGAUCAACUUGGCGACAGUCAUGCUGAGGGCCCAAUCUGCCAGCAGCAGAGAACAACACUAAGCGCCCAAUAUGACAUCAUUUCCUGGGGUGAUCAGCCAGCUACUUAGUGGCAGCAUGAUUAAAACGGACUACUUUCCACAUAGAGGGGCGUAACUUUGUUCUUACUGUAAAAACACUUGGAUAUGGAUUUGCCUUACCUGAAUGCAAUGUUUCUUCCAAACCUGUCAUACUGCAGAGUGUCUUAUCCACUAUUGCAGUAAUUCUGUACACAUUACUUCUGAUCAAACAACUCAUUCACAGCAAAUAACUUGUGGCAAUGGGCCCACGCUCAUAUAAUUCACUGGCCUUACUGUGUUUCCCCUCAUCCUGUAUCAUUUGGUUUGGUACAACAGUGGAAUGGCCUUUUGAAGGCUCAGCUACACCUUGCAGGGCUAAAGCAAUGCCCUCCAUGAGGCUGUCCAGGCCCUAAAACAGCAUCCAGUAGAUAGUGAUAUUUCUCUCACAGCCAAGAAUCAAGGGGAAGAAAUGCAAGUAAUGAGGUAAUAUUGUUUAGUGUCUUUCUAUAUGACCAAAUAUGACCAAAUCUUGCUAUAUGAUACAACAUAGAGUCAAAUUUGCUAAUGUUUCAUGUCCACUAGAAACACAUAGGCAUUAUUCUACCACUAGAAACACAUAGGAACUAUUUUAUUGGUGGAUGCAAGUUUCUACAUGUUUAUGACUUUAAAUUUCUUAAUCAUUUUUUCAAAUACUCUAUAUUAUUUUAUUUUUAUUAUAGGUUAUAGAUUUGUCCAGCUCUCCAUUCCAACAUUUGC